rnacentral:rRNA from 1 species
UGUUCGCCCAUUAAAGCGGUACGCGAGCUGGGUUCAGAACGUCGUGAGACAGUUCGGUCCCUAUCCGUCGUGGGCGUAGGAAAUUUGAGAGGAGCUGUCCUUAGUACGAGAGGACCGGGAUAGACAUACCUCUGGUGUACCAGUUGUCGUGCCAACGGCAUAGCUGGGUAGCUAUGUAUGGACGGGAUAAGUGCUGAAAGCAUCUAAGCAUGAAGCCCCCCUCAAGA